CCCUAGCCCCGAUAGCAGUGAAAUCCUUUUGUGCUGGGGGUCGGCACAAAAGAUUGCUUCGCCAGUUCGCUGGAGCUCGGGUGGAACGAAUAGCGGGAAGAGCU
rnacentral:misc_RNA from 1 species